rnacentral:rRNA from 1 species
GGUUAAGCGACUAAGCGUACACGGUGGAUGCCCUGGCAGUCAGAGGCGAUGAAGGACGUGCUAAUCUGCGAUAAGCGUCGGUAAGGUGAUAUGAACCGUUAUAACCGGCGAUUUCCGAAUGGGGAAACCCAGUGUGUUUCGACACACUAUCAUUAACUGAAUCCAUAGGUUAAUGAGGCGAACCGGGGGAACUGAAACAUCUAAGUACCCCGAGGAAAAGAAAUCAACCGAGAUUCCCCCAGUAGCGGCGAGCGAACGGGGAGCAGCCCAGAGCCUGAAUCAGUGUGUGUGUUAGUGGAAGCGUCUGGAAAGGCGCGCGAUACAGGGUGACAGCCCCGUACACAAAAAUGCACAUGCUGUGAGCUCGAUGAGUAGGGCGGGACACGUGGUAUCCUGUCUGAAUAUGGGGGGACCAUCCUCCAAGGCUAAAUACUCCUGACUGACCGAUAGUGAACCAGUACCGUGAGGGAAAGGCGAAAAGAACCCCGGCGAGGGGAGUGAAAAAGAACCUGAAACCGUGUACGUACAAGCAGUGGGAGCACGCUUAGGCGUGUGACUGCGUACCUUUUGUAUAAUGGGUCAGCGACUUAUAUUCUGUAGCAAGGUUAACCGAAUAGGGGAGCCGAAGGGAAACCGAGUCUUAACUGGGCGUUAAGUUGCAGGGUAUAGACCCGAAACCCGGUGAUCUAGCCAUGGGCAGGUUGAAGGUUGGGUAACACUAACUGGAGGACCGAACCGACUAAUGUUGAAAAAUUAGCGGAUGACUUGUGGCUGGGGGUGAAAGGCCAAUCAAACCGGGAGAUAGCUGGUUCUCCCCGAAAGCUAUUUAGGUAGCGCCUCGUGAAUUCAUCUCCGGGGGUAGAGCACUGUUUCGGCAAGGGGGUCAUCCCGACUUACCAACCCGAUGCAAACUGCGAAUACCGGAGAAUGUUAUCACGGGAGACACACGGCGGGUGCUAACGUCCGUCGUGAAGAGGGAAACAACCCAGACCGCCAGCUAAGGUCCCAAAGUCAUGGUUAAGUGGGAAACGAUGUGGGAAGGCCCAGACAGCCAGGAUGUUGGCUUAGAAGCAGCCAUCAUUUAAAGAAAGCGUAAUAGCUCACUGGUCGAGUCGGCCUGCGCGGAAGAUGUAACGGGGCUAAACCAUGCACCGAAGCUGCGGCAGCGACGCUUAUGCGUUGUUGGGUAGGGGAGCGUUCUGUAAGCCUGUGAAGGUGUGCUGUGAGGCAUGCUGGAGGUAUCAGAAGUGCGAAUGCUGACAUAAGUAACGAUAAAGCGGGUGAAAAGCCCGCUCGCCGGAAGACCAAGGGUUCCUGUCCAACGUUAAUCGGGGCAGGGUGAGUCGACCCCUAAGGCGAGGCCGAAAGGCGUAGUCGAUGGGAAACAGGUUAAUAUUCCUGUACUUGGUGUUACUGCGAAGGGGGGACGGAGAAGGCUAUGUUGGCCGGGCGACGGUUGUCCCGGUUUAAGCGUGUAGGCUGGUUUUCCAGGCAAAUCCGGAAAAUCAAGGCUGAGGCGUGAUGACGAGGCACUACGGUGCUGAAGCAACAAAUGCCCUGCUUCCAGGAAAAGCCUCUAAGCAUCAGGUAACAUCAAAUCGUACCCCAAACCGACACAGGUGGUCAGGUAGAGAAUACCAAGGCGCUUGAGAGAACUCGGGUGAAGGAACUAGGCAAAAUGGUGCCGUAACUUCGGGAGAAGGCACGCUGAUACGUAGGUGAAGUCCCUCGCGGAUGGAGCUGAAAUCAGUCGAAGAUACCAGCUGGCUGCAACUGUUUAUUAAAAACACAGCACUGUGCAAACACGAAAGUGGACGUAUACGGUGUGACGCCUGCCCGGUGCCGGAAGGUUAAUUGAUGGGGUCAGCGCAAGCGAAGCUCUUGAUCGAAGCCCCGGUAAACGGCGGCCGUAACUAUAACGGUCCUAAGGUAGCGAAAUUCCUUGUCGGGUAAGUUCCGACCUGCACGAAUGGCGUAAUGAUGGCCAGGCUGUCUCCACCCGAGACUCAGUGAAAUUGAACUCGCUGUGAAGAUGCAGUGUACCCGCGGCAAGACGGAAAGACCCCGUGAACCUUUACUAUAGCUUGACACUGAACAUUGAGCCUUGAUGUGUAGGAUAGGUGGGAGGCUUNNNNNNNNNNNNNNNNNNNNNNNNNNNNNNNNNNNNNNNNNNNNNNNNNNNNNNNNNNNNNNNNNNNNNNNNNNNNNNNNNNNNNNNNNNNNNAUCCGGGUUGCGGACAGUGUCUGGUGGGUAGUUUGACUGGGGCGGUCUCCUCCUAAAGAGUAACGGAGGAGCACGAAGGUUGGCUAAUCCUGGUCGGACAUCAGGAGGUUAGUGCAAUGGCAUAAGCCAGCUUGACUGCGAGCGUGACGGCGCGAGCAGGUGCGAAAGCAGGUCAUAGUGAUCCGGUGGUUCUGAAUGGAAGGGCCAUCGCUCAACGGAUAAAAGGUACUCCGGGGAUAACAGGCUGAUACCGCCCAAGAGUUCAUAUCGACGGCGGUGUUUGGCACCUCGAUGUCGGCUCAUCACAUCCUGGGGCUGAAGUAGGUCCCAAGGGUAUGGCUGUUCGCCAUUUAAAGUGGUACGCGAGCUGGGUUUAGAACGUCGUGAGACAGUUCGGUCCCUAUCUGCCGUGGGCGCUGGAGAACUGAGGGGGGCUGCUCCUAGUACGAGAGGACCGGAGUGGACGCAUCACUGGUGUUCGGGUUGUCAUGCCAAUGGCACUGCCCGGUAGCUAAAUGCGGAAGAGAUAAGUGCUGAAAGCAUCUAAGCACGAAACUUGCCCCGAGAUGAGUUCUCCCUGACUCCUUGAGAGUCCUGAAGGAACGUUGAAGACGACGACGUUGAUAGGCCGGGUGUGUAAGCGCAGCGAUGCGUUGAGCUAACCGGUACUAAUGAACCGUGAGGCUUAACCUU